GGGGACAAAAUGAUUUCAUUCACAUAAUACAUUUUCUUUAAUUACUUUAAUACAAAAGACAGAAAUGUUUCAUGUUCACAUAACAUUAAAAAAAUGUUUUAAAACCCUAUAAUAAGUAUUAAAUGAAAAUUAAUUUAUUGAAUGGCAGUAAUCACUACAAAAUUAAUACUACUGAAUUAUUACUGAGACCUUUUGCAUUAACAGUAAUUGGAUGUUAUGUGGAGAAAAUAUCAAACAAGAAGAUGGAUGUUUUAAAACUACAUUUUAUCCAGUCUUUUAUCUUUUUGCUAAAUCUAGUGCAUAUUAGAAGAUGUAUUCAAGAUGGUUAUAAAGCUAUUCAGCUAAAGUAAUACUUCAAAGAUCUUAAAAGAGCCCUCUACAAAUGAUAUGACAUUGCUAUCAUUCCAUCUGUUUACAAAAUCAAAAAUAUAAGUAAUAACCCAAUGAGUCCUUCUAGGUAAAAGAUUCAAUUUAAAAAAGAGAACAUUAACAGAGAAUUAGUGAUGGUGAGCAGAAGAAAAUCAACAUAAUUAAGAAAGGUAUAUAAUUAUCCAACAUGACUUCGUCUGGUUAAACCAACGCAACUUAAUAAAUAACUUGACUGCAUUGUGAGUGAAAGGGGUAACAAGAUCCAGAGUCCUGUUUUCAAAUUCUCAUAUAAUAAUCCUACUUCAAUCAACCUGUAAAGCAAAAGCACUGAAUCCAUAUUAACAUCAUAACAUACAUCUUACAAUGAUACAAAGGUCAAACCGUUACUGGGAGAUCUCUGUCUUUGUGACAGUAUAGGAAAACUUCACAAGAGUGUGCACUUUUGAAAGUAUGAUCAGUGUAUACGGUAUAGACAAAACAGGCACCUCCAUU
rnacentral:lncRNA from 1 species